rfam:Phaseolus vulgaris cultivar G19833 chromosome 10, whole genome shotgun sequence.
AGGUGCGAUCAUACCAGCACUAAUGCACCGGAUCCCAUCAGAACUCCGCAGUGAAGCGUGCUUGGGCGAGAGUAGUACUAGGAUGGGUGACCUCCUGGGAAGUCCUCGUGUUGCACUUC